rnacentral:rRNA from 1 species
GACGUAGGGCGCGAGCGUUGUCCGGAUUUAUUGGGCGUAAAGCGCGUGUAGGCGGCCCCUUUUGUCGCGUGUGAAAGCCCCGGGCUCAACCUGGGAGGUGCGCGCGAAACGGGGGGGCUUGAGUUCGGGAGAGGAGCGUGGAAUUCCCAGUGUAGAGGUGAAAUUCGUAGAUAUUGGGAAGAACACCGGUGGCGAAGGCGGCGCUCUGGACCGAGACUGACGCUGAGGCGCGAAAGCGUGGGGAGCAAACAGG